rnacentral:rRNA from 1 species
GACGAACGCUGGCGGCGGGCCUAAUACAUGCAAGUCGAACGAACCGCGACUAGUUGCUUGCGCUUUGUCAAGGGGAGUGGCGAACGGUGCAUUAACACCUGGGUAACCUACCGCAUAAUGGUGGGUAACAGGCGGAAACUACUGCUAACACCGUGUGGGACAUAGUAUCACAUCAUCCAGUGAGGCAAGGUCGCGCAAGCUAUCGCUAGAAUAUCGACCCGCGGUGGAUUAGCUAGUUGGUGGGGUAAAGGCCUACCAAGGCGAUGAUGCAUAUCCGGCCUGAGAGGGUGAUCAGCCACACUGGAACUGAGACACGGCCCAGACUCCUACGGGAGGCAGCAGUAGGGAAUAUUGCGCAAUGGACGAAAGCCUGAUCGAGCAAUGCCGCGUGAGUGAAGAAGGUCUUCGGAUCGUAAAGCUCUGUUGUUAGAGAAGAAGAGCAGAAAGAGUAUCCCUUAUGCGUGUGACGGUACCUACAGAGAAAGCAACGGCUAACUUCGUG